GGACCAAUGAAGUAUGCUAAAAGGACAAACACAAUACAAUAAUGUAUUUAAGAGUCAUUUAAUAGUGAUUCUUAUUUUAGGAAUAGUUUUUUACAAUUUUUUUUUUGUACAUAUUUUUUACAACUCUACGAGAGCUAAAAACUAUUUAAUUGAUAAUAUAGUAUAAGGAGGUAAUGAUAUUUAUAAUUUUUUUUAUGCUCAAUGAUAUUUAUAAAUCAUAAAGUUAUGAUAAAGCUAUUUGUUUUUUUUUUUUUAUCAGAUAAAGCUAUUUGUUAAGGGAGAAAAUAUGUGUAAAAUUGUCAUGUUUGUUCUUAUGAUCAUCUUUCUUUUCAUAUUUUUGGUUUCAAUAGAUGCUGGUAAGCUAUUUUUUAUCUUUUUUAAAUUUUCUUCUUUAAUAUUUAUUUUUUGAUAAAAAACUUUCUUCUUUACUUAUUAUACAAUAUAUUGUUCCAUUUUAGUUAUAUUAUUCUCUUUUUUCAUCAUAUAGGGAGUUUUAAAUGUACCAAUGAUCAUGAUUGUCGAAGAUUGUAUUGUCCCAAACCUCUUGCAAAGAGGUGUAUCGAUUCCUUAUGUAAAUGCAGUAAAUUAGUGUUUGGAUUGGAUUAUGUACCAACACGAUUCAACAUUUAAUGGCAGACCCAAGAGAGUACGCAAAUGUCAUAUAUGGUAGAUAUUUCAUGAGUUGUCAUUUAGAUAUUGAGUUGGUAGAAUAAUGUUAGCAACACACUCUUUAAUAAACACACUCCAACAUACUCUCUUUUAUUGGUUGAAAUUCACAUGGGUCCCAUAAAAAAAUGUGGACCCAUAUAACUUUUAUGGGACCCAUAUAAAUUUUAACCAAUAAAAAAGAGUGUGUUAGAGUGUGUUUGUUAUUGGAGUGUG
rnacentral:lncRNA from 1 species